rnacentral:rRNA from 1 species
CUGGGACUGAAACACGGCCGAGACUCCUACUGGAGGCUCAGCGGGGAAUAUUGCACAAUGGGCGAAAGCGUGAUGCGAGCACGCCGCGUGACGGAUGACGGCCUUCAUGUUGACAACCUCUUUCGCUACGCACGAAAUUCCACUGACCUCCCUGCACUCUAACCGGGGCCAACUACGUGCCAGCAGCCGCGUUGAGACCCAGGGUUUCAGCGUUGUCCGGAUUUAUUGGGCGUAAAGAGUUUACACGCGGCUUGUCCCAACGACUGUGAAUACCUCCAUAUUACCUGCGGUGCUGCAACCGAUACAGGCAGGCUUUACUUCGGUGGGACAGACUGGAAUUCCUGGUGUAAAGCGGGAAUGCGCUCAUCCCACGAGGAACGCCUUUGGCAAACGCAGGUCUUUGUCCCCAUACUGACGCUGAUGAGCCAAGGUUCGGGGAGCGAACCAGAUUAGAUACCCUGUGCCUCCACGCUGAAAACGGUGCGCGCUACGUGUGGGGUACCUCUGCUGUUCUCUGUGCCGCAGCUAACGCAUUUAGCCUUGCGCCGGCGGAGUACGG